rfam:Gossypium raimondii Chr01_contig_307, whole genome shotgun sequence.
UGUCAAAAAAUUCAUCCAUUUCUACCGUUAGAAAUCAGUGUAGCAGUCUAACCAAAUAGUCAUACGUGAUGUGUCACGUGUAUCUCAUAUUGACAUAUAGGGACCAAAUUUUAACAAUAAAAAUUGAUGAAAUUUUUAACA